rnacentral:lncRNA from 1 species
AUGCUCUGCCCACACCUGAGCUCUCUCCAGUCUCCGCCUCCUGGAUGUGGUAGGGUGGCCAUGCUCAGCUCACACCUGAGCUCUCUCCGAGCUCCGCCUUCUGGACUCCGUAGAGUGGCCAUGCUCCACCCACACCUGCGCUCUCUCCAAGCUCCGCCUUCUGGACGUGGUAGGAUGGCCAUGCUCCGCCCACACCUGAGCUCUCGGUGCCACGAUCUGCAGGUGUACUCCACAGGACAAGUGUACUGUGGACAAUGAAGUUAUUCAUCAUGCAUGACCCAGUAACAUUUCUCAGCGGUUGGAUUCAAUACGAGAAAUAAGCAAAUAAUCGCACUGCUUCUUCCAUUUCAAAGUCAUGUCUCUUAUAAAAAGUGGUCAAGAAAAAUGCCUGUUGGCUUACAUACUGGUUAGUGCCAAAAAUUUGGCUUACAAUAUUUCAAGUGGAUUAUCCUUUUACAUCCAUGUUGUUAGUUUCACACAGAACACAUACAAAUGCAAUUUUUUUUACCGUAAGUUUUUGCAAAUUAUAAUCAUAAACUAAAAAAUAGGAUUAAGCAUAUUAUUUUUUGGGAUAGGGUCUAGUUCUGUUGCCCAGGCUGGAGUGCAGUGGCACGAUCAUGGCUCACUGCAGCCUCAACCUCCCCCGGCCCAGGUGAUUCUCCCAUCCCAGCCUCCCGAGCAGCUGGGACCACAGGCACACACCACCAUGCCCGGCUGAUUUCUGUAUUUUUUGUAGGGAUGGGCUUUGGAAUGUUGCCCAGGCUAGUCUCAAAUGCUGGGACUCAAGCAAUCUGCCUGCCUUGGCUUCCCAAAGUGCGGAGGUUACAGGCAUGAGCCACUAUGCCUGGCCUAAUCAUUUUUAAAGAGUCUCUAUGUAUUAUUGUUAUUUUUUUCCUAAUUGAGAUGGGGGUCUUGCUCUGUUGCCCCGCCGGAGUGCAGUGGUGCCAUCUCAGCUGACAGCAACCUCUGCCUCCCGGGCUCAAGUGAUUCUCCCACCUCAGCCUCC